rnacentral:rRNA from 1 species
UACAGAGGGUGCGAGCGUUAAUCGGAAUUACUGGGCGUAAAGCGUGCGCAGGCGGUUGUGCAAGACCGAUGUGAAAUCCCCGGGCUUAACCUGGGAAUGGCAUUGGUGACUGUACGGCUAGAGUGUGUCAGAGGGGGGUAGAAUUCCACGUGUAGCAGUGAAAUGCGUAGAGAUGUGGAGGAACACCGAUGGCGAAGGCAGCCUCCUGGGCCAGCACUGACGCUCAUGCACGAAAGCGUGGGGAGCAAACAGG